rnacentral:tRNA from 1 species
GGGCGCUUAGCUCAGCUGGGAGAGCACCUGCCUUACAAGCAGGGGGUCACAAGUUCGAGCCUUGUAGUGCCCACCA